rnacentral:rRNA from 1 species
GACGAACGCUGGCGGCGUGCUUAACACAUGCAAGUCGAGCGGUAAGGCUCCUUCGGGAGUACACGAGCGGCGAACGGGUGAGUAACACGUGAGUAAUCUGCCCUUCACUUCGGGAUAACCACCGGAAACGGUGGCUAAUACCGAAUACGACCAGUCUUCGCAUGAGGUGCUGGUGGAAAGUCUUUUCGGUGAAGGAUGUGCUCGCGGCCUAUCAGCUUGUUGGUGGGGUAAUGGCCUACCAAGGCUUCGACGGGUAGCCGGCCUGAGAGGGUGACCGGCCACACUGGGACUGAGACACGGACCAGACUCCUACGGGGGGCAGCAGGGGGGAAUAUUGGACAAUGGGCGAAAGCCUGAUCCAGCAACGACGAGGGAGGGAUGACGGCCUUCGGGUUGUAAACCUCUUUCAGUACCGACGAAGCGCCCUGUCGGGUGGUGACGGUAGGUACAGAAGAAGGACCGGCCAACUACGUG